ensembl:snRNA U7 U7 small nuclear RNA
AAGCGUUAAAGCUCUUUUAGAAUUUGUCUGGGUUUUCCAGUCUUUGCCAAACGCCCCC